GGGCGUGUAGCUCAUCUGGUAGAGCGUUCGCUUAGCAUGGUGCCUGUAAGAAUCGGUCAUGCGAAAGGUACUGGGUUCGAUUCCCAGCUCGUCCA